AUAUUGUCUUUGUGCUUAAGUAGGUUGAGAAGGUAUGUAUGGACAGAUACUACAUUUUAACAAAGUCAGUAGUACUCAAAAAA